AUUAGGGUGCCUGACAAAAGGAUUAUUUCGAUAAAAUAAAUUAUGCAAUUAAACCUUGCCCUUAAUC
rnacentral:tRNA from 1 species